GAUAAACGCUGGCGGCGUGCCUAAAACAUGCAAGUCGGACGGCACCUUCGGGUGUAGUGGCGAACGGCUGAGUAACACGUGGGUGACCUGCCCUCGAGCGGGGGAUAACUGCCCGAAAGGGUGGCUAAUACCGCAGACAUCGACGGUUCGUUCCGUCGAUUGAACUCUUCGGGGGUUCGGGGAGGGGCCCGCGGCCGAUUAGCUAGCUGGUGGGGUGACGGCCUACCAGGGCGACGAUCGGUAGCUGGUCUGAGAGGAUGAUCAGCCAGACUGGGACUGCGAACGGCCCAGACUCCUACGGGAGGCAGCAGUUAGGAAUUUUGGGCAAUGGGCGAAAGCCUGACCCAGCAACGCCGCGUGGGUGAUGAAGGCCCUCGGGUCGUAAAGCCCUUUUCCCAGGGAAGAUGAUGACGGUACCUGGGGAAUCAGCCCCGGCUAACUACGUGCCAGCAGCCGCAGUAAAAC
rnacentral:rRNA from 1 species